AUUGAACGCUAGCGGCAGGCCUAACACAUGCAAGUCGAACGAGUGGCGGACGGGUGAGUAAUGUCUGGGAAACUGCCCGAUGGAGGGGGAUAACUACUGGAAACGGUAGCUAAUACCGCAUACCAUCGGAGGUGCCCAGAUUGGAUUAGCUAGUUGGUGGGGUAACGGCUCACCUAGGCAACGAUCCCUAGCUAGUCUGAGAGGAUGACCAGCCACACUGGGACUGAGACACGGUCCAGACUCCUACGGGAGGCAGCAGUGGGGAAUAUUGCACAAUGGGCGAAAGCCUGAUGCAGCCAUGCCGCGUGUAUGAAGAAGGCCUUCGGGUUGUAAAGUACUUUCAGCGGGGAGGCGUUACCCGCAGAAGAAGCACCGGCUAACUCCGUGCCAGCAGCCGCGGUAAUAC
rnacentral:rRNA from 1 species